UAUUAUUAUAAUGAAAUUAUUUGCUGUUUUUUGAUUAUAGGUUGAACAGUUUAUCGAUCACAUUCAGCCUUCUGUUAUUAACAAUCAAAUAUUUCCAAACAUUGCCCAGGGUUUCUUAGAUACCAACCCAACUAUAAGAGAUCAAACAAUAAAGUGCAUGAUGUAUUUAGCCCCUAAGCUGAACUAUCAGAACUUGAAUGACGAGAUGUUGAAACAUUUUGCUCGCCUUCAAAGCAAAGAUGAACAGGGCGGAAUUAGAACAAAUACAACUGUUUGCCUUGGAAAAAUUGCCUCUUAUCUUCACCCUCAAGUGAGUAACAAAAAAAUAUUAUUUUAAGAAAAA